AUUGAACGCUGGCGGCAUGCUUUACACAUGCAAGUCGAACGGUAACAGGUUAAGCUGACGAGUGGCGAACGGGUGAGUAAUGCAUCGGAACGUGCCCGAUCGUGGGGGAUAACGCAGCGAAAGCUGCGCUAAUACCGCAUACGAUCUGAGGAUGAAAGCGGGGGACCGUAAGGCCUCGCGCGAUCGGAGCGGCCGAUGUCAGAUUAGGUCGUUGGUGGGGUAAAGGCUCACCAAGCCAACGAGCUGUAGCUGGUCUGAGAGGAAGAACAGCCACACUGGGACUGAGACACGGCCCAGACUCAGACGGGAGGCAGCAGGGGGGAAUUUUGGACAAGGGGCGAAAGCCUGAUCCAGCAAUGCCGCGUGCAGGAAGAAGGCCUUCGGGUUAUAAACUGCUUUUGUACGGAGCGAAAAGGCCCUCUCUAAUACAGUGGGCUCAUGACGGUACCGUAAGAAUAAGCACCGGCUAACUACGUGCCAGCAGCCGCCGUAA
rnacentral:rRNA from 1 species